rnacentral:tRNA from 3 species
GCCGGGAUAGCUCAGUG